GCAAGUCGAGGGGUAACAGGGGAGUUUGCUUCCGCUGACGACCGGCGCACGGGUGAGUAACGCGUUUGUAACCUACCUUUAUCUGGAAGAUAGCCCGAAGAAAUUCGGAUUAAUACUCCAUAAUACUAUAGUUUGGCAUCAUUUUAUAGUUAAAGCUCCGGCGGAUAAAGAUGGGCAUGCGUAACAUUAGUUUGUUGGUGAGGUAAGAGCUCACCAAGACUACGAUGUUUAGGGGGUCUGAGAGGAUAGUC
rnacentral:rRNA from 1 species